rnacentral:rRNA from 1 species
GGAGGCGCAGCUACACAUGCAGUCGAGCGAGCUCUUCGGAGCUAGCGGCGGACGGGUUAGUAACGCGUGGGAACGUGCCCUUCACUGCGGAAUAGCCACUGGAAACGGUGAGUAAUACCGCAUACGCCCUUCGGGGGAAAGAUUUAUCGGUGAAGGAUCGGCCCGCGUUAGAUUAGAUAGUUGGUGGGGUAACGGCCUACCAAGUCUACGAUCUAUAGCUGGUUUUAGAGGAUGAUCAGCAACACUGGGACUGAGACACGGCCCAGACUCCUACGGGAGGCAGCAGUGGGGAAUCUUGGACAAUGGGCGCAAGCCUGAUCCAGCCAUGCCGCGUGAGUGAUGAAGGCCUUAGGGUCGUAAAGCUCUUUCGCCAGAGAUGAUAAUGACAGUAUCUGGUAAAGAAACCCCGGCUAACUCCGUGCCAGCAGCCGCGGUAAUACGGAGGGGGUUAGCGUUGUUCGGAAUUACUGGGCGUAAAGCGCACGUAGGCGGAUCAGAAAGUUGGGGGUGAAAUCCCGGGGCUCAACCCCGGAACUGCCUCCAAAACUCCUGGUCUUGAGUUCGAGAGAGGUGAGUGGAAUUCCGAGUGUAGAGGUGAAAUUCGUAGAUAUUCGGAGGAACACCAGUGGCGAAGGCGGCUCACUGGCUCGAUACUGACGCUGAGGUGCGAAAGUGUGGGGAGCAAACAGGAUUAGAUACCCUGGU